GUUUAAGGGUAUAUUGGCUGCUUUAAAGAUGGACGUCCUCCUGCAAUAGAGAAUCGUUACUGGAGAGAAGAUAAAAUGACUAUAGAAAAAUGUCAGAAUCACUGUCGAGAAAGACGCACAAAAUAUGCUGGUCUGCAGCAUGGUCAACUAUGUUACUGUGGCAACACUUAUGAGAUAUAUGGUCCUUUAGGCAGAGAUCAUUGUAACAUAGAAUGUGCUGGAGAUCCUACGGAAUUCUGUGGAGGGUACCUUGCUAAUUCAGUUUUUAGUACACAUUUUAAUGAGAAAUAAGUUGUGAAGAUUAUAUCCACGGAAACAUUUCACUGAAAUCUCACCCUUUCUCCAAAAACUUGACGACCGAAAAUGUUAGAAAUCAGACUUUUGAAGAUUUUGAAAUAAAAACUUAUUCCUUUUUGUGGUUGAUAUUCAUUUUAGUGAUGAAUGAAGUCCAAAAUGCUAGAAAUCAGCAUAAAAUUAUACGAAAUGUUUAAAAUAAAAAUUUGUUGUCUUCUCAUUAUUAAUGAUUUAAGUGUUCCCAACAAUUGUCAGAUUCAGAACUACUCUGAAUGCCAUAUUUACCAAGCAUUUCACUGCAUUGAAUUGUUUUUCUAGAAAACAUAGAAAUGAAAAUAUAGGGGAUGAGCAGCAAAUAAAAUAUUGACAUGAAACAUUGAACUUUCUCAGACUACAACUAUUCUUGUGAUUUUUUAAUUUCUCUCUCACACAGAUUCUGAAUUGGUUACCACACACUUUAAAUACUAUGUUUAACCGAAGUCAAAAUAUUUCUUGUGGAUAUAAUCGCUAGAAAGUGUUGAAAAUCUUCAGCAAAUCAUUUGACAAUUUUGAAAUAAAGAUUUUGGUAAACUU